GACGAACCGAGCGAACGUUGUUCGGAAUCACUGGGCUUAAAGGGCGCGUAGGCGGGCUGCCAAGUUUGGGGUGAAAUCCUCCGGCUCAACCGGAGCAGUGCCUCGAAUACUGGCGGUCUCGAGGGAGGUAGGGGCGUGCGGAACUGUGGGUGGAGCGGUGAAAUGCGUUGAUAUCCACAGGAACUCCGGUGGCGAAGGCGGCACGCUGGACCUUUUCUGACGCUGAGGCGCGAAAGCCAGGGGAGCGAACGGGG
rnacentral:rRNA from 1 species